UACAGAGGUCUCAAGCGUUGUUCGGAUUCAUUGGGCGUAAAGGGCGCGUAGGCGGCGGGGUAAGUCGGGUGUGAAAUCUCAGAGCUCAACUCUGAAAUGGCACUUGAUACUGCUCUGCUAGAGGACUGGAGAGGAGAUUGGAAUUCACGGUGUAGCAGUGAAAUGCGUAGAUAUCGUGAGGAAGACCGGUGGCGAAGGCGGAUCUCUGGACAGUUCCUGACGCUGAGGCGCGAAGGCUAGGGGAGCAAACGGG
rnacentral:rRNA from 1 species